rnacentral:rRNA from 1 species
GACGAACGCUGGCGGCGUGCUUAACACAUGCAAGUCGAACGGAAAGGCCCUGCUUUUGUGGGGUGCUCGAGUGGCGAACGGGUGAGUAACACGGGAGUAACCUGCCCUUGACUUUGGGAUAACUGCAGGAAACUGGGGCUAAUACCGGAUAGGAGCUCCUGCUGCAUGGUGGGGGUUGGAAAGUUUCGGCGGUUGGGGAUGGACUCGCGGCUUAUCAGCUUGUUGGUGGGGUAGUGGCUUACCAAGGCUUUGACGGGUAGCCGGCCUGAGAGGGUGACCGGCCACAUUGCGACUGAGACACGGCCCAGACUCCUACGGGAGGCAGCAGUGGGGAAUAUUGCACAAUGGGCGGAAGCCUGAUGCAGCAACGCCGCGUGCGGGAUGACGGCCUUCGGGUUGUAAACCGCUUUCGCCUGUGACGAAGCGUGAGUGACGGUAAUGGGUAAAGAAGCACCGGCUAACUACGUG